rnacentral:rRNA from 1 species
GUGCCAGCAGCCGCGGUAAUACGAAGGGGGCUAGCGUUGUUCGGAAUUACUGGGCGUAAAGCGCGCGUAGGCGGUUUUGCAAGCCAGAGGUGAAAUGCCUGAGCUCAACUCAGGAAUGGCCUUUGGGACUGCGAGGCUUUGAGGACUGGAGAGGUGAGUGGAAUUCCCAGUGUAGAGGUGAAAUUCGUAGAUAUUGGGAAGAACACCGGUGGCGAAGGCGGCUCACUGGCCAGUUUCUGACGCUGUAGCGCGAAAGCGUGGGGAUCAAACAGGAUUAGAUACCCUGGUAGUCC